GACACUAUAGCCAAGUGGUUAAGGCGACAGAUUAGAAUCGUGCGAGCGAAUUAUCUGUUUCCCUCUGGGAGCGUAGGUUCGAACCCUACUGGUGUCG
rnacentral:tRNA from 1 species